UACGUAGGGUGCGAGCGUUAAUCGGAAUUACUGGGCGUAAAGCGUGCGCAGGCGGUUUUGUAAGCCAGAUGUGAAAUCCCCGGGCUUAACCUGGGAAUGGCAUUUGGGACUGCAAGGCUUGAGUUUGGCAGAGGAGACUGGAAUUCCUGGUGUAGCAGUGAAAUGCGUAGAUAUCACUUGGAACGCCAAUGGUGAAGACAGCUCGCUGGGGGUGUCCUGACGCUGAGGCGCGAAAGCCAGGGGAGCGAACGGG
rnacentral:rRNA from 1 species